UCUGACUUACAUUCUUACUAUGUGUAAGAGUUAAGCAUUGGUGAAAGAUAUUUCCACUGUAGAUGCUGGAUCAUUGAUGAAAUAAGGCACAAUCAAGUAAAUCUUACCAGGCAAGGAGCUUUCCAUCUGGUGAAACAUUGAAGGCAGAAAU